rnacentral:rRNA from 1 species
AGAGCGAACGCUGGCGGCAGGCUUAACACAUGCAAGUCGAGCGGGCGUAGCAAUGCGUCAGCGGCAGACGGGUGAGUAACGCGUGGGAACGUACCUUUUGGUUCGGAACAACCCAGGGAAACUUGGGCUAAAUACCGGAUAAGCCCUUACGGGGAAAGAUUUAUCGCCGAAAGAUCGGCCCGCGUCUGAUUAGCUAGUUGGUGAGGUAAUGGCUCACCAAGGCGACGAUCAGUAGCUGGUCUGAGAGGAUGAUCAGCCACAUUGGGACUGAGACACGGCCCAAACUCCUACGGGAGGCAGCAGUGGGGAAUAUUGGACAAUGGGCGCAAGCCUGAUCCAGCCAUGCCGCGUGAGUGAUGAAGGCCCUAGGGUUGUAAAGGCUCUUUUGUGCGGGAAGAUAAUGACGGUACGCAAGAAUAAGCCCGGCUAACUUCGUGCCAGCAGCCGC